GAUGAACGCUGGCGGCGUGCCUAAUACAUGCAAGUCGAGCGAACAGACGAGGAGCUUGCUCCUCUGACGUUAGCGGCGGACGGGUGAGUAACACGUGGAUAACCUACCUAUAAGACUGGGAUAACUUCGGGAAACCGGAGCUAAUACCGGAUAAUAUAUUGAACCGCAUGGUUCAAUAGUGAAAGACGGUUUUGCUGUCACUUAUAGAUGGAUCCGCGCCGCAUUAGCUAGUUGGUAAGGUAACGGCUUACCAAGGCAACGAUGCGUAGCCGACCUGAGAGGGUGAUCGGCCACACUGGAAGUGAGACACGGUCCAGUCUCCUACGGGAGGCAGCAGUAGGGAAUCUUCCGCAAUGGGCGAAAGCUUGACGGAGCAACGCCGCGUGAGUGAUGAAGGUCUUCGGAUCGUAAAACUCUGUUAUUAGGGAAGAACAAAUGUGUAAGUAACUAUGCACGUCUUGACGGUACCUAAUCAGAAAGCCACGGCUAACUACGUG
rnacentral:rRNA from 1 species